rnacentral:rRNA from 1 species
CCAAUAGCGUAUAUUAAAGUUGUUGCAGUUAAAAAGCUCGUAGUUGAACUUCGGGGUUUACCCAUUGGUCAGGCUUAAUUGUCUGUACUGGUGAGAUAAAUCUCUACCUUCUGAGGAACUUUCAUGUCAUUAAUUUGGUGUGAUUGGAAAUCAGGACUGUUACUUUGAAAAAAUUAGAGUGUUUAAAGCAGGCUAACGUCUGAAUACAUUAGCAUGGAAUAAUGAAAUAGGACGGACUGAUUCUAUUUCGUUGGUUUCUAGGAUCACCGUAAUGAUUAAUAGGGGUAGUUGGGGGCAUUAGUAUUCAAUUGUCAGAGGUGAAAUCCUUGGAUUUAUUGAAGACUAACUACUGCGAAAGCAUUUGCCAAGGAUGUUUUCAUUAAUCAAGAACGAAAGUUAGGGGAUCGAAGACGAUCAGAUACCGUCGUAGUCUUGACCAUAAACUAUGCCGACUAGGGAUCGGACGAAGUUAAUUUUAUAAUGACGCGUUCGGCACCUUACG